ACAUAGGAACCCCGCUGCAGAGAGGCUGGCCGCUUCAAGUGGCUGCCCUGGGAUCCAAGAGCCCCAGAACACAGCCCAGGCAACACGACAGCAGACAAACCAUGAACCCCGCAGAACUGUGGAGGGUCUCAGAAGCAGUGGAGCAGCCUGAAGAUGGGGCUUAGAAUUCCAAUGUUCACACACACUCCAAUCCCUGGAGUCUGGAGCCGAUGAUGCCAGGCGGAUGUGGGAGAGGAGAAUAAUGAAGGGGCUGAGCCCAAAACACACACACGCGCACACAGAAAAAUUGCACUACCCAGAGAAGGAAAGAGGAAAGCCAUUUCAGCCAGGAAACAAAACAGACUGCUGGGCAAAAAGAACGAUCCGAGACCAAGGGAAGUUUCCUGGACACUGACAUGUUACAGUGGCAAAACAAACGUCAACAGCAGAAUCGGAAGACAAGGAAAGCUCCUAUAAAGUGUAUCUAAACAAUAAAGAUAAAAAAUG
rnacentral:lncRNA from 1 species